ACUGAUGAAAAAUUUAAAAAGAGGAGUGAGAUUGGGAAGAUGGCUCGCGCAUCAGAAAAGGGAGGCUCUUUGCACACUAGUGGAGCUAUUAGCCAGGUUACUAGGAAGGAAAGAAUGGAAAAAGAGUUGGGUAGGCCGGUAGCUGUACCAGAGAUGUUCAAGGUUACUCACGUCAAGAAGAGUACGAACCCCACAGAAGAAGAAAGAUGGAUUGAGCCACGUGCUCAAGAGACAUAUGAUAGGUAUAUACGAAUAUCUUAGGAAUAUCGUAGUACUCUACCUCUUGAGAGUCAGGACAGACCAUUUACACAAGAAAAAAACGAGAAUCUUUGGAAACAGAGUGCUGGUGAACCGAUUAGAGGUUCAGUCUACGGCUAUCCAGAAAAGGCGUAUCAGAAAAAGAAGUCUUGGUAUUGUGGUUCAUCAUCCUCAAGCUUUGAUGGUGGGGAUAGAGAGACAAUAAC